ACUAGUGGGGCCCACCCGUCAGAGCUGAUGGGGCAGGAAAGUCAACACCGUUUAUUUUGACUGUUAAGUUAACCAUUAUGACAGGUGGCCCCCAGAUAUCAGUAUCUAUCUUCUUCUUCCUCCUAUAUCUCUCUUGGUCAUUUCAAGGAACACCCCGUCUUCGUGCCCCACGGCGAGCUCUGGUGUCGUCUAUGUCACCCACCUAGAGGCAAUCAGCCACCGCGUGCCCGUGCGGCCGCCGCUGCCACCGCUGCUUCUCGUGGCCGUACGUGGCAGUAGGGCCGCGGCUAUGCGUUGGACCGGGGACGGCGGCACGUCCUCCGGCCCCAGCUCCACGCCCAGCGCUCCGCGUGCCAGAAGCUCACGCCCGUCCGUCACCGGCAGCGCCAGCCGCCCCGCCCACACCUCCCCGUAGACGACGUUCACCGCGCACAGCUAUGAGAAGAACGCCGUGGCAGGCACUCCGGCGGCCCGCGCCACCCGCCCCGCCCACGGCAGGUGCGAGUCGUACACCAGCACGCGCACCGCGGCUGUCUCCUCCGACAGCAGGACGUCGCGCAGCGUCUCGGACCCCGCGGCCUCCAACCGGGAGAAGUACUCGGCGGGGUCCGGGCACGAGGCGAAGCCACCGGCGUCGAAUCCGUCGGAGAUGGCGGCCACGCGGAAGGGCGCGCCGGGGGGUGGGGUGGAGGAGAGCACGUGAUGGGUGGAGACGAACGUGGGGCGGAGGCCGUGGCGCGUCAGGCGGCGGCCCAGCUCCAGCAUCGGGUUCGUGUGGCUCGGGGUGUCAAAUGCAACAACGCCGGCGUGCGCAUGGUGGAUGCGAGGGCAGCGGUCACGCUCGACGAGUGGCUCGCCACGGCCACCGCCGACGACGAGAUGGACCUCGCCUACUUCGAGCCCAUGGGGUCCGAGGCAGGGUGGAACAAGUGCGCAGGGUGGAACAUGAGGUGUUUGUUAAAAUGCCAGAGAGAGGGAGGAGGAGGAAGAAGAAUGACGUGUGGGCCCCACCUGUCAUAGCGGUCAACUUAACGGACUGGAAUAACGGAGUUGACUUUCCUGCCACAUCAGCCCUGACGGGUGGGCCCCACUUGUCAUAAACGUGUUUAAAUCUUUUAAACUGGUCAUUUUUCGAAAGUGGUAGUUUUUUGCCACGGGUUAGUAAAAAAGUGGUAGUUUUUUGCACAAAGUUGUAAAGUGGUAGUUUCUGGGCACGGUUCCAUGAAAUGUGGUAGUUUUUGGUUAAAUACUCGCGCCUUAUCCUCCCCGUUCCUUUCUCAUAUCCGAGCUCCAGCCCUCCACCAUCCCCUCCUCCUUGACCGCCUCUCCCCUCGUCUGAAGGAGCAUGGGGCUCGCAGCUGCGCCUGAGCCGCCACAAGGCCGUCAGGUAGAGGAGAUCCGGUGCCCACGGGCCGUUCACGCCGCUGUCCGAGGUCUCGGAGUUGCCAGAGUCGUCGUCGCCAUACGAAGACGAGUCGGCGGGGAGAUGUUGGUGUUGGGAUUCGGGAGGGUCCAAUCUGCAGCAAAUCCUUGGGAGAUAUGACGGUGUAUUUUGGAAUGCUCGACGGCUUGCUGGCUGCAGAAGGGCUUCCUGAGGAAUACCAGAACCGAUGCCAGGAUAUACUUUGUAACGACUGCGGAAGAAAAGGGCUUUCUCGGUUCCACUGGCUGUAUCAUAAAUGCCCCGCCUGUGGCUUGUACAACACCAGAGUUAUCAAGACCGAGGCACCAAAUUGUUCCAUGUAGAAUUAACAGGCGAGUCGUUUUCUGUUUUCUUCUUCUGCUCGAUUCUUUUGGAAAUUCGCCUCUGUAAUAUAUCUCGAUACAGAGGAACAUUGCAUAUGUAUAGUUGUGAUGCUUAACAAAGUCAGUUCGGAGCAUGAAUGUCGCUUUUGGUUAGCAGCGCAGCUAAUAGUCAGUUUACUAUAGCAAAAUGUUAUUAAUUCUAUGUAGUAGUAACAGCCAUCCAGCCCCGUCUCUAGGAUAAUGCUUUAGGACAGUGCAAGAACUCGCGGUCUGGCAGCAUGAAUAGAACCGAGGCCGCAUGUCACUACGCCACCCUGCAUCACCCGGGGCCUCGUUCCUCGCUCCAAUUGGCCAUUUCGUCUUUGCAUCUCCUGGGGCUGCACACUCCUGUCAUGGCGAGUUCGCGACCAGCCGAAUCAUCCGCCCGAGGCAUGGGCAAGGCCCAGCAGCACCAAUGCUACCAACAAAAAAUGCCUCUUCUGUCCAAGCUGCAUCCGACACGGACACCACUUCAACCAAAGUACCAAACCAUGCAACCAGACUUGGCUAUUUCUAGUGCAAAAAAACAGCCAGCAGCCCCGGCCUUGGGUCUGAUGUUGUUGUAGUGUUGUUGAUGAAGCUUCUCGUGGUCUGCAGAGACUCUCACGUCCUCAGGGGGAAGGCCUCCUUGGAGUUUUGCAGACCGGAUGAGCAGACGUUUGUUAGCAGCAGGUCGACGGUCGAUGUGAUCUCUCCAGGCCCAGGGUGCGCCGGCUUGCUGCUCUGCACCGCCGAUGCACGCCAUGCUGGCCAGAGUUAGGCUCGGCACGCCUGGCAUUUCUCUCGAUGGUCCAAUCUUGUGUGGCGAACAAGUCUCGGAGCUGCGUCUGUGGAAUUGACCCUCUGUUCCAGUCCAAUGGUUUAGGACAUGAAUGAAAGAGUCAGCAUGCAAGCCAAGACUGCGUUACUCUAUUUGAACUAUGCAUUUUACGAAUAUGCUGACAGGUGUAAGAUAGUAAGAUUUAAAAUGUGUUAGCGAAAAGAUUUAUCAGUAGGCCCAAACUGUACAGGUCCGCCGAUGAGGAUGUGGAUGAGGACGAGGUCGAGCCCCCUCCCGCCGCGAUCUCCUUUUGGAGGCUAUUCAACUUCGCCGACGGCCUCGGCUGGGCACUCAUGGACGCUGGCACAGUCGCCGCCGCCGCCCACGACGCAGCAUUCAUAGUCUACCUGCACUAAUGGUCCUUGAAUUUUCUCGACACUGAGCGGAUUUAGUCUGCUCUCCACGGUCGUAGCGACGAGCUCCUCAACCAAUUUAAGCAGGUAAACCGUUGCUUCACAUGCUCGUCUCUUAAUUGCACGCUUGACAGGGCCUGCAACAUGAUAUUUAUUGCCUGACUCCCGAAGGUAAAUUCAACAACAAAUGUGUUUAGGAUCCACUUUAUUUCUGCAAGUUGAAGAGGUAAAGAUAUGCAUGCUGUGAUUUUGGUUGCCAGUGUAUGUUUGUUUAACUUUUUCCAAGGUGUUCUACUCUAUGGCCCACCAGGAACCGGGAAGACAGUAUUAGCAAGGGCUAUCGCCAGUAACAUUGAUGCUAACUUUUGGAGAUUCUGUCAAGUGCUAUAAUUGACAAAUAUAUUGGAGAAAGUGCUCGUUUAAUCAGAUAAAUGUUCAGCUAUGCACGCGAUCACCAUGACAUGAUUUAGUGAGGAACCAGUAACGACCGUGAGAUCCAGCGGACGGUGAUGGAGCUUCUUAAUCAGUUAGAUGGAUUUGAUGAGCUUGGCAAGGGCUCUUGAACAGAUGUGAAGGUUUAUUUUUUGCUGAUAUGUGCAAUCUUAUGGAUAUGUUUAUUAGGCAUAAUCUUCUAUCCUCAUUUGAAGCACCUUGGAGUUAUUUGGUGAUUGUGUUGCUCUGUUGGAUGACCACGCGCUGGUAUUAUUUUCUACUAGGUCUAUGAGUGUAAAGCAGUUGAUCUCAAACUGUUUGGUCCCUUGUUCAUUUUACUUACUUGCCUUUCCUGUCCUUUUUGGCCAAGUUAGGUGUUUGAAGCCCCUUUUGCGUAGGAAUCUUGCCUGGUACGACUAGAAACUGCAUUCUCAAAUAUUCAACAAACUGUUGAAGUUAUCUGUUACAAGAUUCACCCAUUUUGUAGUAUUCAUGCCCGUAAGAUCUAAAAUAGCUCGAUCAUCUCCUUGUGAUGUCUUCUAUGUUGUUUGUUAUUACUUGUGAUUGUAUUAAAGCAAAUUUGUCAUUCUCAGCCAAGAUUGUCAGCAAGUGUGCAUUACCAAGCUGAGAUUUCAGUUUCACUACCUCUUAGCAACUGUGAUAUCUUUCUGUUAUUUUCAGAUCUGCUUGCUCUGCAUGGAGUGAGGGCAUAGUCUGAAGAACUUCUCUGACGAAGGUGAUGGGCUUCAAAAAAUUCUGUUAUAACUGUGGUGAAUCUGCCGUUUGAAAUUACAGGGCCAUGGACUCCAAUUUGCAGUGACGAAGUUUAUAUCAUGUUUGUGCUCAGUCUGUUAUUUCCCUUUAUCGAACACAUGGAUCUACAGCACACUAAUGGCAAGUUUGGAUUCAUGGUGUUUGCGGCAUCCGCACUUUAACUUCUUGCUGGAUUUGGUGCGCAAUGAUGUCAUUUGAUGUAGAACUGAGCUUGAACGCGGAUGCUGCCUCUGCCUACUCAAGACACUGGCACGGUCGCGUGGCCGAAGGCAGUCCCAACGGGUGGCUGCACUAUGACAAGCGGGGAUGGCGAUGACCGCUACAUCUUCCGCGGCUACCGUGAGAGGUUGUGGGCUACGUCGAGGGCUCUACUGCGAUGGCGAUCUAAUGGUGAAGCAGAUGAGGAGCUGCUCGAGCAGGCGAUGAUGAAGGCGAGCAUCGGCACGAUGGGGUUGGCGGAGCGUGCAGAUGAAGCUGCAGCGGCAAGUCUCGUGGCUGAAAUACAACGACGUAGAGUGGAGCAUCUGGUAGAUACAUCGUCUUUAGAUUGCUUGUUUAUUUCCUGAGUUUGAUUCACUUUUGGACAACCAUCGUAUGUAAUGCAUCUUCUAACCAGGUAUAUAACCUGCUGCCACCCCGUAAGAUUAAUAUAUUUCCACCUCUAAUGGAUU